AUUGAACGCUGGCGGCAGGCCUAACACAUGCAAGUCGAGCGGAUGAAGGGAGCUUGCUCCUGGAUUCAGUGGCGGACGGGUGAGUAAUGCCUAGGAAUCUGCCUGGUAGUGGGGGAUAACGUCCGGUCACGGGCGCUAAUAUCGCAUACGUCCAGAGGGAGAAAGUGAGGGUUCUUUGGACCUCACGCUAUCAGAUGAGCCUAGGUCGGAUUAGCUAGUUGGUGGGGUAAAGGCCUACCAAGGCGACGAUCCGUAACUGGUCUGAGUGGAUGAUCAGUCAAAAUGGAACUGGGACCAGGUCCAGAACCCUAAGGGAAGCAGGAGGUGGGAAUAUUGGACAAUGGGCGGAAGCCUGAUCCAGCCAUGCCGGGUGUGUGAAGAAGGUCUUCGGAUUGGAAAGCACUUUAAAUUGGGAGAAAGGGCAGUAAGUUAAAACCGUGCUGUUUUGACGUUACCAACAGAAGAAGCACCGGCUAACUUCGUG
rnacentral:rRNA from 1 species